UGCACUCCAAAGUCACCCCAUCCUAUAUAAUUUUCCAGUGGGGAAGAGAUGGGCCGGGCAGUGUGGAUGCGCCGUGCGCCUUGGAUGUCCCAACAAGCCAUGAGUGGCCGAGACCUGCCGAAGCGUGUUGACCAGGAGAGCUGGAGGCAGCGGCUUCCUAAAACCUGUGCUUUCCCUAACACCUUCAGAAAGUUUCCUGCACAAAAAUGAUUCAGGAAACACAUUUCCAGGCUGUCAGUGCGACGCAUUCAUCACUCCCCUGCAUAUGCACCAGAUUGUUAAUGCUUCGGGCCAAAUACCGUGUCUUUUUUUAAUGCCUACAAAACGUGGAGCGCGUUGCUGGCUUUGUACUCAUAAUAAUUAUAAAAGUAACGGGAGUAGCUGCAUUCCUAUAGGCUGGAAAUGGCCAGGCACAAACAAACCCCAUGAUUCAUUGUUGCAAUUAAUGCUUGAGCUUGUACCUGUGAUUCAUUAGUCUGGCGAUAGCAAAAGAGCAGGGUGAGAAUUAAGGGAGACAAGUGCCGGCUGUUGAGAUGGUUUGAGUGCUGUUUAGUGCUCCCUCCUCGGGCUGCCUCUGCCCCUUCAGUUAAAGGCACUGAUAGACCCAUAGGCAGGUGGUGCAGGGUAUUUAUAUAACAGUGCUCAGUACAAAACUUCAAACUUAAAUUCCCAUGCAGGUCUCUAAAUAGAACUUUGAAAUGUCAGAGAUGCUGAGAAGAAUGCUGGCACCGGAGGAGCUGCCAUCAGCGAGAGGCAAUAGCAGCCAGAUUUAUGCUGGGCUAAAUACGCAGGUACCACCAAGCAUGGCUGCGAAGGGAUAGGGUAUGGAGAAUAGAGCAUUGACAAAUGCAGCCUGUUGAGAUGCUGAUGGGGAGAAGGAGGAUGAGAGUUGUUCCACUGAGACCUGCCCAGGGGAAUGCUGUCCAUGGAAAGGGCUUUGGACCCUUUCCUGGAGCAUCACAUCAGUGCAGGGCUGCAGUCUGCCUCUCUUAAAUGACCUUUUGCUGACUUUGAUCUCACAAGGUGACUUUGAUGGGUGAGAUGGAGCAGGGGCAGCUCCCAGGAGCCUGCAAGUUCCUAUGAAGCACAAACCACUCUGUAGCACCAACCUUCUAAGGAAAGCAGGAAGAGGCAGGAAAGGAUUGACUCUAUCGUGCCGAGGGCUUUUCCGAAGAUGCCUGCUGGGAACGCUGGCUGUAUGUUUCUCUUUAGGAAGUGGCUCUUUUGAUUUUCUCACUGCCUCGCCUGUCACGCUGAGGUGCCUGGAGAAGGAUUUGCUGAUUGCUGAUGAAAUCCAUUCUCCCUUGAGAUUCUGCUCGUCCCAUCUUGAUCAACUUUUAAUUCUUGCUUUCUAAUAACACCCAGGGACGGUGUUUUAUGGCUUUAUGAGGAUUUGGUGAUUGAUGUUCAUCUGUGCUUGCAGGAGACCAGUAACCUCAUUUCAUUUUUGACAGAGCAUCGGGGGAAGAGCUCUGUACCCUUCGCCCUUCUUGGUCAUGUAUAAAUGAAAGAGAAAGUAAAGCGGAUAUAAUGUGUCCAGACCUGUCAGCCCAUCUCCCUUGUCCUCUCUCACCACACUGGUGAACUUCUGACGCUGUUUCUCUCCCGCCUGGCACAUGAGCACGUGUUUGAAGGACACCGUUGGCUCAUUUUUGAUAUCCUUCCAUGAUCUUGCUUUUAUUCUUGGUUCUGCACACCAGCGGCUGGGAUGGUUGGAAGUAGCUGCUCUAAGCUGGUGUGGGAGUAGAUUGCUUAAGCAUUACCUCCCAGAGUCAAUGUAAAUUGAGAGCAGAUAAGACUUGGACCCCAAAUGCCUUUUUUUGACCCAUUACUGUCUUCUUCCCAGUUCCAUUCUCUCUGCUCUUUCUGAUUUUGAGCAGGUUCGAGAGGAAUGGGACUCCUGGUUCACGCUCAAACCAACCUUAUCUGCGGUACCCAAAGGCACACACACAGGUACCCACCACUGGCAAAGGAUUUGUCAGUAAAAGAAAUGCUGGAGGAAGAAUGCCCACAGUGAUGAAUUGAGAGACAAUGCACAAAAUCCUGGACCCAGAUAACCUGGUAAUAUCAUUCACCAAACUGUGACUCUGUUCUCAUAGAGAAAUGGCAUUUCCCUUUACAAAUCCAUUUCUCUCCUUAGGGGAAAGGACAUUUAGAGCAUCUCUAGUGAAAAGGAGAAGGUGGAAGAGGCUGUGAGGACGCCGUGCUUCCUACACUGGUCCACAGAUUCUAAACACAGGUUUGGUUAUUUCUUAUAGAUGCUUAUUUUUCCUCUCUGUUUUUUGCUUUCAAAUAUGCGCUUGUGUUCUCAAUGAAGAACAGCUGAGAGAUCAGGCAAAUGGCUUAAGAAUUCAGCGGGCUGUAAGCUAUUUGGAUUUAAAAUAGUGCCUGGGAGAGAGCUUUUUACACUGCCUCGCUAAACAAUCCUCCUUCUGUCACCAUCUGAGGUUGCCAUCCUUUGUUCCUCACAUGUCGCCUUCCCUCUAACUCUCCAGAGCCUCCAAGGGAAGCAGGAGAAGGGCUAACGAGGGUUUUUCUUCUUCAUUUUUAAAUCCCCCCAAGUCCUUCUUUAACACAGCCCCCCCCGGCCAUCUGCCUUUGUUUCAGUUGUGCUUCUUGGCUUUGUUUCUUCAGCAUUACCCCCUCCUUGUCCCUUUGCAGGGCACUGUUAAACACUGUGGGAGAGCUGUGCAGAGGCAGCUCAGCAUCCCUGGCCUCAGCCACAGCACUUGUAGCACCAGAGCCUGCUCGUCCGACUGUGGCCAGAGCCAUCCCUGCUGCCUUUUUUGCUUCCCUUUCCCAUGGCAGGGGGUUGGAACUGGAUGAGCUUAAGGUGCUUUUCAACCCAAACCAUUCUAUCAUUCUGCUUGCAAAAGCAAAGCUGGGGCUGCUCUGCUGGCGGAGCAGGGUGCUGGCAUCAGGCACAACAAACAGGGCACCCCACUGCUUGCCCCGCUGCUCCCCAGCCAAGGCAGGGGAGGGAAUCGCUGUCCCACCACGCUCAAGGCCUCCGCUGCCUCCCCUUCACGCACAGGCAGGUGGUGGAAGGAGGGUUCCAUCACGCUCCGGUUCCCCCCGAUUCCCCCUGCAGACGCAGACGGGCAGGAGGGAGGUGGUGUCCGGGGCUGACGGCUCAUCCUUUUGCCCCUGAUUUGCAGGGGAUCGAGAAGAGGGCUGUGCCAAAUGGAUGGGCUCAGCUCCAC